ACUGGGCGUAAAGCGCACGUAGGCGGUUUUUUAAGUCAGAUGUGAAAGCCCCGGGCUCAACCUGGGAAUUGCAUUUGAAACUGGAAAACUAGAGUGUGUGAGAGGGGGGUAGAAUUCCAAGUGUAGCGGUGAAAUGCGUAGAGAUUUGGAGGAAUACCAGUGGCGAAGGCGGCCCCCUGGCACAACACUGACGCUCAGGUGCGAAAGCGUGGGGAGCAAACAGGAUUAGAUACCCUGGUAGUCCACGCCGUAAACGAUGUCUACUAGCUGUUCGUGGUCUUGUACUGUGAGUAGCGCAGCUAACGCACUAAGUAGACCGCCUGGGGAGUACGGUCGCAAGAUUAAAACUCAAAUGAAUUGACGGGGGCCCGCACAAGCGGUGGAGCAUGUGGUUUAAUUCGACGCAACGCGAAGAACCUUACCUACUCUUGACAUCUACAGAACUUAGCAGAGAUGCUUUGGUGCCUUCGGGAACUGUAAGACAGGUGCUGCAUGGCUGUCGUCAGCUCGUGUUGUGAAAUGUUGGGUUAAGUCCCGCAACGAGCGCAACCCUUAUCCUUAGUUGCCAGCACGUAAUGGUGGGAACUCUAGGGAGACUGCCGGUGAUAAACCGGAGGAAGGUGGGGACGACGUCAAGUCAUCAUGGCCCUUACGAGUAGGGCUACACACGUGCUACAAUGGUAUGUACAGAGGGAGGCAAGCCUGCGAGGGUGAGCGGAUCUCUUAAAGCAUAUCGUAGUCCGGAUCGCAGUCUGCAACUCGACUGCGUGAAGUCGGAAUCGCUAGUAAUCGCAAAUCAGAAUGUUGCGGUGAAUACGUUCCCGGGCCUUGUACACACCGCCCGUCACACCAUGGGAGUGGGUUGCAAAAGAAGUAGGUAGCUUAACCUUCGGGAGGGCGCUUACCACUUUGUGAUUCAUGACUGGGGUGAAGUCGUAACAAGGUAACCGUAGGGGAACCUGCGGUUGG
rnacentral:rRNA from 1 species